rnacentral:rRNA from 1 species
UGGGGAAUUUUGGACAAUGGGCGAAAGCCUGAUCCAGCAAUGCCGCGUGCAGGAUGAAGGCCUUCGGGUUGUAAACUGCUUUUGUACGGAACGAAAAGCUUCUCCUAAUACGAGAGGCCCAUGACGGUACCGUAAGAAUAAGCACCGGCUAACUGCGUGCCAGCAGCCGCGGUAAUACGUAGGGUGCGAGCUGUAAUCGGAAUUACUGGGCGUAAAGCGUGCGCAGGCGGUUAUGUAAGACAGAUGUGAAAUCCCCGGGCUCAACCUGGGAACUGCAUUUGUGACUGCAUGGCUAGAGUACGGUAGAGGGGGAUGGAAUUCCGCGUGUAGCAGUGAAAUGCGUAGAUAUGCGGAGGAACACCGAUGGCGAAGGCAAUCCCCUGGACCUGUACUGACGCUCAUGCACGAAAGCGUGGGGAGCAAACAGGAUUAGAUACCCCUGGUAGUCCACGCCCUAAAACGAUGUCAACUGGUUGUUGGGAAUUAGUUUUCUCAGUAACGAAGCUAACGCGUGAAGUUGACCGCCUGGGGAGUACGGCCGCAAGGUUGAAACUUAAAUGAAUU